rnacentral:rRNA from 1 species
AUUGAACGCUGGCGGAAUGCUUUACACAUGCAAGUCGAACGGCAGCACGGGUGCUUGCACCUGGUGGCGAGUGGCGGACGGGUGAGUAAUGCAUCGGAACGUGCCGUAUAGUGGGGGAUAACGCAUCGAAAGGUGUGCUAAUACCGCAUACGCCCUGAGGGGAAAGUGGGGGACCGUAAGGCCUCACGCUAUACGAGCGGCCGAUGUCCGAUUAGCUAGUUGGUGGGGUAAAGGCUCACCAAGGCGACGAUCGGUAGCUGGUCUGAGAGGACGACCAGCCACACUGGGACUGAGACACGGCCCAGACUCCUACGGGAGGCAGCAGUGGGGAAUUUUGGACAAUGGGGGCAACCCUGAUCCAGCCAUUCCGCGUGAGUGAAGAAGGCCUUCGGGUUGUAAAGCUCUUUUGUCAGGGAGGAAAUCCUUAGCGUUAAUACCGUUGGGGGAUGACAGUACCUGAAGAAUAAGGACCGGCUAACUACGUGCCAGCAGCCGCAGUAA